UUACUAUAGCUUGACACUGAACAUUGAGCCUUGAUGUGUAGGAUAGGUGGGAGGCUUUGAAGUGUGGACGCCAGUCUGCAUGGAGCCGACCUUGAAAUACCACCCUUUAAUGUUUGAUGUUCUAACGUUGACCCGUAAUCCGGGUUGCGGACAGUGUCUGGUGGGUAGUUUGACUGGGGCGGUCUCCUCCUAAAGAGUAACGGAGGAGCACGAAGGUUGGCUAAUCCUGGUCGGACAUCAGGAGGUUAGUGCAAUGGCAUAAGCCAGCUUGACUGCGAGCGUGACGGCGCGAGCAGGUGCGAAAGCAGGUCAUAGUGAUCCGGUGGUUCUGAAUGGAAGGGCCAUCGCUCAACGGAUAAAAGGUACUCCGGGGAUAACAGGCUGAUACCGCCCAAGAGUUCAUAUCGACGGCGGUGUUUGGCACCUCGAUGUCGGCUCAUCACAUCCUGGGGCUGAAGUAGGUCCCAAGGGUAUGGCUGUUCGCCAUUUAAAGUGGUACGCGAGCUGGGUUUAGAACGUCGUGAGACAGUUCGGUCCCUAUCUGCCGUGGGCGCUGGAGAACUGAGGGGGGCUGCUCCUAGUACGAGAGGACCGGAGUGGACGCAUCACUGGUGUUCGGGUUGUCAUGCCAAUGGCACUGCCCGGUAGCUAAAUGCGGAAGAGAUAAGUGCUGAAAGCAUCUAAGCACGAAACUUGCCCCGAGAUGAGUUCUCCCUGACUCCUUGAGAGUCCUGAAGGAACGUUGAAG
rnacentral:rRNA from 1 species